rnacentral:misc_RNA from 1 species
UGUUGAAGCAAUUUUCAGAACCAACUGUGAGAACGGUCUUUCAUGGGAGUUGGAAUGUUCAGAAUCCCACAUCUGUGUGGAAACCUGCCAUGACACUACCUCUGGUUUGAUUCUGUUGGCUGCUCAACUCCAGCAGCUUUUUGCCCCUGAUUUGGAGGAAUCAAUUGUGCACUUGCAGACUCGGUGGAAUAAUGUUCAUCAAGCC